rnacentral:rRNA from 1 species
UACAGAGGUCUCAAGCGUUGUUCGGAUUCAUUGGGCGUAAAGGGUGCGUAGGCGGCGGGGUAAGUCGGGUGUGAAAUCUCAGAGCUCAACUCUGAAACUGCACUCGAUACUGCUCUGCUUGAGGACUGGAGAGGAGACUGGAAUUCACGGUGUAGCAGUGAAAUGCGCAGAUAUCAGGAGGAACACCGGUGGCGAAGGCGGGACUCUGGGCCGAUACUGACGCUGAGGAGCGAAAGCGUGGGGAGCAAACAGG